rnacentral:rRNA from 1 species
CUAAUACAUGCAAGUCGAGCGGACAGAAGGGAGCUUGCUCCCGGAUGUUAGCGGCGGACGGGUGAGUAACACGUGGGUAACCUGCCUGUAAGACUGGGAUAACUCCGGGAAACCGGAGCUAAUACCGGAUAGUUCNUUGAACCGCAUGGUUCAAGGAUGAAAGACGGUUUCGGCUGUCACUUACAGAUGGACCCGCGGCGCAUUAGCUAGUUGGUGAGGUAACGGCUCACCAAGGCGACGAUGCGUAGCCGACCUGAGAGGGUGAUCGGCCACACUGGGACUGAGACACGGCCCAGACUCCUACGGGAGGCAGCAGUAGGGAAUCUUCCGCAAUGGACGAAAGUCUGACGGAGCAACGCCGCGUGAGUGAUGAAGGUUUUCGGAUCGUAAAGCUCUGUUGUUAGGGAAGAACAAGUGCAAGAGUAACUGCUUGCACCUUGACGGUACCUAACCAGAAAGCCACGGCUAACUACGUGCCAGCAGCCGCGGUAAUACGUAGGUGGCAAGCGUUGUCCGGAAUUAUUGGGCGUAAAGGGCUCGCAGGCGGUUUCUUAAGUCUGAUGUGAAAGCCCCCGGCUCAACCGGGGAGGGUCAUUGGAAACUGGGAAACUUGAGUGCAGAAGAGGAGAGUGGAAUUCCACGUGUAGCGGUGAAAUGCGUAGAGAUGUGGAGGAACACCAGUGGCGAAGGCGACUCUCUGGUCUGUAACUGACGCUGAGGAGCGAAAGCGUGGGGAGCGAACAGGAUUAGAUACCCUGGUAGUCC